CGGGUGAGUAACGCGUGGGUAACCUGCCUUAUACAGGGGGAUAACAGUCAGAAAUGGCUGCUAAUACCGCAUAAGCGCACAGAGCUGCAUGGCUCAGUGUGAAAAACUCCGGUGGUAUAAGAUGGACCCGCGUUGGAUUAGCUAGUUGGUGGGGUAACGGCCCACCAAGGCGACGAUCCAUAGCCGGCCUGAGAGGGUGAACGGUCACAUUGGGACUGAGACACGGCCCAGACUCCUACGGGAGGCAGCAUG
rnacentral:rRNA from 1 species